rnacentral:misc_RNA from 1 species
GAUGAAGAACGUAGCGAAAUGCGAUAAGUAAUGUGAAUUGCAGAAUUCAGUGAAUCAUCGAAUCUUUGAACGCACCUUGCGCCCUUUGGCCAUUCCGAAGGGCAUGCCUGUUUGAGCGUCAUUUCAACCCUCAAGCCCCCGGGCUUGGUGUUGGGGAUCGGCGUGCCCUCGCGGCGCGCCGUCCCCUAAAUCUAGUGGCGGUCUCGCUGUAGCUUCCUCUGCGUAGUAGCAACACUCGCACUGGAUCGCAGCGCGGCCACGCCGUUAAACCCCCCACUUCUGUAAGUUUGACCUCGGAUCAGGUAGGAAUACCCGCUGAACUUAAGCAUAUCAAUAAGCGGAGGA